rnacentral:piRNA from 1 species
UGAGAAAGACUGAUAAGAAACUUGGCGUG